AAGGUGGCAUAUGCCACUGCCAUGGACUGGUUCAUUGCGGUGUGCUACGCCUUU
rfam:Oryzias latipes DNA, chromosome4, strain: Hd-rR.